AUGAACGCUAGCUACAGGCUUAACACAUGCAAGUCGAGGGGCAGCAUGAUUGAAGCUUGCUUCAAUUGAUGGCGACCGGCGCACGGGUGAGUAACACGUAUCCAACCUGCCGAUAACUCGGGGAUAGCCUUUCGAAAGAAAGAUUAAUACCCGAUAGCAUAGUAUUUCCGCAUGGUUUCACUAUUAAAGAAUUUCGGUUAUCGAUGGGGAUGCGUUCCAUUAGAUAGUUGGCGGGGUAACGGCCCACCAAGUCAACGAUGGAUAGGGGUUCUGAGAGGAAGGUCCCCCACAUUGGAACUGAGACACGGUCCAAACUCCUACGGGAGGCAGCAGUGAGGAAUAUUGGUCAAUGGACGAGAGUCUGAACCAGCCAAGUAGCGUGAAGGAUGACUGCCCUAUGGGUUGUAAACUUCUUUUAUACGGGAAUAAAGUGGAGUAUGCAUACUCCUUUGUAUGUACCGUAUGAAUAAGGAUCGGCUAACUCCGUGCCAGCAGCCGCGGUAAUACGGAGGAUCCGAGCGUUAUCCGGAUUUAUUGGGUUUAAAGGGAGCGUAGGCGGGUGCUUAAGUCAGUUGUGAAAGUUUGCGGCUCAACCGUAAAAUUGCAGUUGAUACUGGGUACCUUGAGUGCAGCAUAGGUAGGCGGAAUUCGUGGUGUAGCGGUGAAAUGCUUAGAUAUCACGAAGAACUCCUAUUGCGAAGGCAGCUUACUGGACUGUAACUGACGCUGAUGCUCGAAAGUGUGGGUAUCAAACAGGAUUAGAUACCCUGGUAGUCCACACAGUAAACGAUGAAUACUCGCUGUUGGCGAUACACAGUCAGCGGCCAAGCGAAAGCAUUAAGUAUUCCACCUGGGGAGUACGCCGGCAACGGUGAAACUCAAAGGAAUUGACGGGGGCCCGCACAAGCGGAGGAACAUGUGGUUUAAUUCGAUGAUACGCGAGGAACCUUACCCGGGCUUAAAUUGCAGCGGAAUGUAGUGGAAACAUUACAGCCUUCGGGCCGCUGUGAAGGUGCUGCAUGGUUGUCGUCAGCUCGUGCCGUGAGGUGUCGGCUUAAGUGCCAUAACGAGCGCAACCCUUAUCUAUAGUUACUAUCAGGUCAUGCUGAGGACUCUAUGGAGACUGCCGUCGUAAGAUGUGAGGAAGGUGGGGAUGACGUCAAAUCAGCACGGCCCUUACGUCCGGGGCUACACACGUGUUACAAUGGGGGGUACAGAAGGCAGCUACCUGGCGACAGGAUGCUAAUCCCAAAAACCUCUCUCAGUUCGGAUUGGAGUCUGCAACCCGACUCCAUGAAGCUGGAUUCGCUAGUAAUCGCGCAUCAGCCACGGCGCGGUGAAUACGUUCCCGGGCCUUGUACACACCGCCCGUCACACCAUGGGAGUUGGAAAUGCCCGAAGUCAGUGACCCAACCUUUCAGGAGGGAGCUGCCGAAGGCGGGACUGAUAACUGGGGUG
rnacentral:rRNA from 1 species